ACUUAGGUAGUUUAAAAAAAAUUUUGAUUUGUGGUGUCAAAGAUAUAUAAAAAUAUUCUAGGUC
rnacentral:tRNA from 1 species